rnacentral:rRNA from 1 species
GAUGAACGCUAGCUACAGGCUUAACACAUGCAAGUCGAGGGGCAGCAUGGUCUUAGCUUGCUAAGGCCGAUGGCGACCGGCGCACGGGUGAGUAACACGUAUCCAACCUGCCGAUGACUCGGGGAUAGCCUUUCGAAAGAAAGAUUAAUACCCGAUGGCAUAGUUCUUCCGCAUUGGAACUGAGACACGGUCCAAAACUCCUACGGGAGGCAGCAGUGAGGAAUAUUGGUCAAUGGACGAGAGUCUGAACCAGCCAAGUAGCGUGCAGGAUGACGGCCCCUAUGGGUUGUAAACUGCUUUUAUAAGGGAAUAAAGUGAGUCUCGUGAGACUUUUUGCAUGUACCUUAUGAAUAAGGACCGGCUAAUUCCGUG